UACGGAGGAUGCGAGCGUUAUCCGGAUUUAUUGGGUUUAAAGGGUGCGCAGGCGGGGUAUUAAGUCAGUGGUGAAAUCUGGACGCUCAACGUUCAACUUGCCAUUGAAACUGGUAGUCUUGAGUAUGGUUGAAGUAGGCGGAAUUCGUUGUGUAGCGGUGAAAUGCAUAGAUAUAACGAGGAACCCCGAUUGCGUAGGCAGCUUACUAAGCCAUAACUGACGCUCAUGCACGAAAGUGUGGGUAUCAAACAGG
rnacentral:rRNA from 1 species